rnacentral:rRNA from 1 species
UACGUAGGGUGCAAGCGUUAUCCGGAAUUAUUGGGCGUAAAGAGCUCGUAGGCGGUUUGUCGCGUCUGCUGUGAAAACUGGAGGCUCAACCUCCAGCCUGCAGUGGGUACGGGCAGACUAGAGUGCGGUAGGGGAGAUUGGAAUUCCUGGUGUAGCGGUGGAAUGCGCAGAUAUCGAGAGGAACACCUGCGGCGAAGGCGGGUUGCUGGGCUGACACUGACGCUGAGGCGCGAAAGCUAGGGGAGCGAACGGG